CGGAGAUUACGAUGAGAAAUAGUAGAUUUACCAUAUGGUGGUCGCCUUUGAAGCAUUCGGAGAAUCAAGCAAUGUUAUGGAGUUGAUUAACACUAUUCAUUCGGUGGCUUCUGUAAGAGAAAUGAUUGUUGCGGAACUCAAUAGCGGCUUGCGAAAUGAUGCUCGUGAUGGUGCCAUUGCAAUGCGCCAAAAGUGGCGUCUUUGUGAGAUUGAACUUGAGGACUACUUUUUGUGCUACUAAGCAGAUUCCCCAAUGCUCUUGAAACUGUGGGAGGAGCUGUUCAUCUUGCAAAAGAUGUGGAAUUAAAAAAUCUUUCCUCCUGGAACGAUCCUCUAGAUGCUUUGGUCUUCCGUUUUCAGCAAGUAGGUGUAUCUGGUUGGGAGCAAGAAGAACGUUUAGCCAAUUGAAAUGAACUCAUAGCGUGGCGAGGGAG